rfam:Pyronema omphalodes CBS 100304, CBS100304, WGS project CATG01000000 data, contig: Pcon_v1_contig581
GCGCUAAUAGCUCAGUUGGGAGAGCGUCAGACUGAAGUCGAUUCGGUCCACCACAUCCGGGGUAAUCUGAAGGUCACCCGUUCAAUCCGGGUUUGGCGCA